UUGAAUCGCCCAGAUGGUCGAGCAGUCUAGUGCGCCGGUCACAUGCUGCUAAAAGAUUUGGUUCCGCAGGUCGUGAGUUCAACCCCAGUGUCUCCAUAUCAAAUCGUAUUCCUCCAUAAUCUGCAAAUCCAUGUUGCAGUUGGCAUGAAACGAUAAUUGAAGAGAAAUCGGUUGAGAAUUGGCUAAAGAGAAUAUUGAACCGGUCAUUGCAGUCAGCAGGUCUUCAUCCAGGUGUAGACACAACAUCGCUCAGUUUGGUUGGAAUCACUGCGAUGCAUUUGUACCACAUGUACAGAAACAGUGGGAACGGAACUGCCGCUCUAUCUUUAGAAGUGGGGCACUAAGUGUCUGUAUUUUUAUCGCACGGAAACUGAAAACAUUCACAAAUUUUAUGCAAUGAAAAGUAAACUAUA